rnacentral:rRNA from 1 species
UACGUAGGGGGCAAGCGUUAUCCGGAUUUACUGGGUGUAAAGGGAGCGCAGACGGUCAGGUAAGUCUGAUGUGAAAGACCGGGGCUCAACCCCGGGCCUGCAUUGGAAACUGUUUGACUGGAGUGCCGGAGAGGUAAGCGGAAUUCCUAGUGUAGCGGUGAAAUGCGUAGAUAUUAGGAGGAACACCGGUGGCGAAGGCGGCUUACUGGACGGUAACUGACGUUGAGGCUCGAAAGCGUGGGGAGCAAAC